rnacentral:rRNA from 1 species
UACAGAGGGGGCAAGCGUUGUUCGGAAUUACUGGGCGUAAAGGGCGCGUAGGCGGCCUGUUAAGUCGAACGUGAAAUCCCCGGGCUCAACCCGGGAACUGCGUCCGAUACUGGCAGGCUUGAAUCCGGGAGAGGGAUGCGGAAUUCCAGGUGUAGCGGUGAAAUGCGUAGAUAUCGGGAGGAACACCAGUGGCGAAGGCGACUUCCUGGCCUGUUCUUGACGCUGAGGCGCGAAAGCUAGGGGAGCAAACGGG